rnacentral:rRNA from 1 species
AGGUGCUGCAUGGCUGUCGUCAGCUCGUGUCGUGAGAUGUUGGGUUAAGUCCCGCAACGAGCGUAACCCUUGUCUUUAGUUGCCAUUAUUAAGUUAGGCACUCUAAAGAGACUGCCUCGGUUAACGGGGAGGAAGGUGGGGAUGACGUCAAGUCCUCAUGGCCUUUAUAUCCAGGGCUACACACGUGCUACAAUGGGCUGUACAAAGGGUUGCUAUCCCGCGAGGGGGCGCUAAUCCCAAAAAGCAGUUCUCAGUUCGGAUUGAAGUCUGCAACUCGACUUCAUGAAGGUGGAAUCGCUAGUAAUCGUGGAUCAGCAUGCCACGGUGAAUACGUUCCCGGGCCUUGUACACACCGCCCGUCACACCACGAAAGUCGACUGUACCAGAAGUUGCUGGGCUAACCUCUUCGGAGGAGGCAGGUACCUAAGGUACGGCCGGUAAUUGGGGUGAAGUCGAAGCAACAUA